rnacentral:lncRNA from 1 species
GCUUUGUCUGACAUAUCAUGUUGCGGACAACCUGUACAUAGUCUUUCAAACCUUUCCCAAUAAUCAUAUAAGUCUUCAGUUGGUUUUUGCCUUAUGCUAGUGAUUUCUCUUAUUAUGCCAAUUGAUUUAGAUGGUGGGAAGUAUUUGUCCAAAAAGGCUUGGACCAUAUCAUCCCAAGAAGUUAUAGAUCUAGGUGGCAAAUAAAAUAACCAAUCCUUAGCAUGGUCAUCUAAUGAAAAAG